rnacentral:rRNA from 1 species
AUGCAGGAGCUGCGCCUCAUCCAACCUACCGUGCUUGACAAGUGGAUGAUUCUUGGGGACUUCAACCUUAUCUGCCAGACCAGCAAAAAGAGCAAUCCUAGUGUCAAUUUGCGCAUGUUGGGCAGAUUCAGAAAUCUGAUUGAUGCGCUGGAGCUGAAGGAUUUGCUGCUAUCUGGGUGGAGGUUUACUUGGUCCAAUGAGAGGGAGAACACAACUUUUACUAGGAUUGAUAGAAUUCUUGUGUCUAAUGAUUGGGAGGCUUCCUUCCCGCAAUACAACCUCUCGCCGACUUCUACGGCCAUAUCCGAUCAUUGUCCGCAGAUUCUCAAGAAGAUGAAUGUCCAGAGGUUUAAGGGGUUCAGAUUUGAGUCCUUUUGGCUGAAUGCAAAUGGGGUGCAGGAAGUGAUUCAGAAGGCCUGGGAUGAGCAAGUGCAUUACAAUGACGCAUUACGCACUCUGCAUAUUAAGCUCUCUAGGACUGCGGCUGCGCUCAAGAGGUGGGACAGGUCUCGUAGAGCACACAACAAUCUGGCAUUCAAUAUCGCUAAUGAGGUUAUCUUCAAUCUUGAUCUUGCAAUGGAGGAGAGGAACUCUCGAAGGCUGAAUGGGAGUUGCGAAGAUUCCUCAAAGCUCGUUUGUUGGGCAUUGCUGCGGUUGAGAGGGAACAAUGGAGAUAGAGAUCACGGCUUACCAAGAUUUGAGUGGGGGAUGCGACCUGUAAAUUCUUUCUAUUGA